CUUGUUGGUGGGGUGAUGGCCUACCAAGGCGACGACGGGUAGCCGGCCUGAGAGGGUGUCCGGCCACACUGGGACUGGGAUACGGCCCAGACUCCUACGGGAGGCAGCAGUGGGGAAUAUUGCACAAUGGGCGCAAGCCUGAUGCAGCGACGCCGCGUGGGGGAUGACGGCCUUCGGGUUGUAAACCUCUUUCACCAUCGGCGAAGCCAGAUGCUUUUGUGUCUGGUGACGGUAGGUGGAGAAGAAGCAUCGGCCAACUACGUGCCAGCAGCCGCGGUAAUACGUAGGGUGCGAGCGUUGUCCGGAGUUACUGGGCGUAAAGAGCUCGUAGGUGGUUUGUCGCGUUGUCCGUGAAAUUCCCUGGCUUAACUGGGGGCGUGCGGGCGAUACGGGCAGACUGGAGUACUGCAGGGGAGACUGGAAUUCCUGGUGUAGCGGUGGAAUGCGCAGAUAUCAGGAGGAACACCGGUGGCGAAGGCGGGUCUCUGGGCAGUAACUGACGCUGAGGAGCGAAAGCGUGGGGAGCGAACAGGAUUAGAUACCCUGGUAGUCCACGCCGUAAACGGUGGGUACUAGGUGUGGGUUUCCUUCCUUGGGAUCCGUGCCGUAGCUAACGCAUUAAGUACCCCGCCUGGGGAGUACGG
rnacentral:rRNA from 1 species